rnacentral:lncRNA from 1 species
AGCUAAUUGCUAUACAUCCUGUGGUUAAGUUAUCAUCUUUCUCAAUGACUGAAGAUCAUUAUUUUAUCUUUAGGCAGAAGAACAGAGAGAGUGCAGAUGUCUCAGGACUAAGACCAAGACAGGGACUCAAAACCAGUUCACAGAUCGUGAUGGAGAAGACAGAUCUUCGGAGAUAAAUCCACUGAGGGUCAACUAAACGGGCAGAAACCACAUUCUCCUCAGGAAGUUCCUUAAGCUGGAAGUAGUGGGAUGCUGGAUAGUACGUGGAUAAGUAGUAUAUAAUGCCCAUGUCUCCCUAAGCAUCUGCUAAUGAUCACUGGUGUCCUAUGGCCACUGUGUGGCCAUUCUUG